rnacentral:rRNA from 1 species
ACUGUAGCUAAUACCGUAUACUCCAGUAAUGGGAAAGAUUUAUCGCUAUAAGAUUGGCCCGCGCAAGAUUAGCUUGUUGGUGAGGUAAAAGCUCACCAAGGCUUCGAUCUUUAGCUGGUUUGAGAGGACGAUCAGCCACACUGGGACUGAGACACGGCCCAGACUCCUACGGGAGGCAGCAGUAGGGAAUAUUGGACAAUGGGGGCAACCCUGAUCCAGCAAUGCAGCGUGAGUGACGAAGGCCUUAGGGUUGUAAAACUCUUUCAUCGGUGAGGAUAAUGACAGUAGCCGAAGAAGAAGGACCGGCUAAUUCCGUGCCAGCAGCCGCGGUAAUACGGAAGGUCCUAGCGUUGUUCGGAAUUACUGGGCGUAAAGCGCAUGUAGGCGGAACAAAAAGUUAGAAGUGAAAUCCCUGGGCUCAACCUAGGAAUUGCUUUUAAAACUUUUGUUCUGGAAUUCAGGAGAGGAAAAUGGAAUUUCCAGUGUAGAGGUGAAAUUCGUAGAUAUUGGAAGGAACACCAGUGGCGAAGGCGAUUUUCUGGACUGAUAUUGACGCUGAGAUGCGAAGGCAUGGGUAGCAAACGGGAUUAGAUACCCCGGUAGUCCAUGCAGUAAACGAUGGGUGCUAGUCGUCGGACUUUUGUUCGGUGUCGUAGCUAACGCGUUAAGCACCCCGCCUGGGGAGUACGGUCGCAAGAUUAAAACUCAAAUAAAUUGACGGGGACCCGCACAAGCAGUGGAGCAUGUGGUUUAAUUCGACGCAACGCGAAGAACCUUACCAGCGUUUGACAUGGGAAGUGCCGGUUACAGAAUGGUAACCUUCAGUUCGGCUGGCUUCCGCACAGGUGCUGCAUGGCUGUCGUCAGCUCGUGUCGUGAGAUGUUGG